AGAGUUUGAUCCUGGCUCAGGACGAACGCUGGCGGCGUGCUUAACACAUGCAAGUGGAGCGACGAACCGGGCUUCGGCCCGGGGCAAAGCCGCGAACGGGUGAGUAACACGUGGGUAACCUGCCCCGUUGACCGGGACAACCCGAGGAAACUCGGGCUAAUACCGGAUGAGCUCUCUUCCCAUCAGGGAUGAGAGGAAAGGAAGCUUCGGCCUCCGCAUCGGGAUGGGCCCGCGGCCCAUUAGCUUGUUGGUGGGGUAAUGGCCUACCAAGGCUUCGAUGGGUAGCUGGUCUGAGAGGACGAUCAGCCACACUGGGACUGAGACACGGCCCAGACUCCUACGGGAGGCAGCAGUGGGGAAUCUUGCGCAAUGGGCGAAAGCCUGACGCAGCGACGCCGCGUGCGGGAAGAAGGCCUUCGGGUUGUAAACCGCUUUCAGGAGGGACGAAGCCACUCGGGUUAAUAGCCCAGAGGGUGACGGUACCUCCAGAAGAAGCCCCGGCUAACUACGUGCCAGCAGCCGCGGUAAUACGUAGGGGGCCAGCGUUGUCCGGAUUUAUUGGGCGUAAAGAGCGUGUAGGCGGCCAGGUAGGUCUGGUGUGAAAACUCGAGGCUCAACCUCGAGAUGUCAUCGGAAACCAUCUGGCUAGAGUCCGGAAGAGGAGAGUGGAAUUCCUGGUGUAGCGGUGAAAUGCGCAGAUAUCAGGAAGAACACCCAUGGCGAAGGCAGCUCUCUGGGACGGUACUGACGCUGAGACGCGAAAGCGUGGGGAGCGAACAGGAUUAGAUACCCUGGUAGUCCACGCCGUAAACGAUGGGUGCUAGGUGUGGGUGGUGUCGACUCCAUCCGUGCCGCAGCUAACGCAUUAAGCACCCCGCCUGGGGAGUACGGCCGCAAGGCUAAAACUCAAAGGAAUUGACGG
rnacentral:rRNA from 1 species